rnacentral:rRNA from 1 species
AUUGAACGCUGGCGGCAGGCCUAACACAUGCAAGUCGAGCGGAUGAAGGGAGCUUGCUUCUGGAUUCAGCGGCGGACGGGUGGGUAAUGCCUAGGAAACUGCCUGGUGGUCGGGGAUAAAGUUGGGAAACGGGCUCUGAUACCGCAUCCGUUCUGAGGGAGGACGUGAGGGAUGUUCGGACCUUGCGCUAUCAUAUUAUCCUGGGUCGGAUUAGCUAGUUGGUGGAGUAGAGGCCUACCAAGGCGACGAUCCGUAACUGGUCUGAGAGGAUGAUCAGUCACACUGGAACUGAGACACGGUCCAGACUCCUACGGGAGGCAGCAGUGGGGAAUAUUAGACUAUGAGCGAAAGCCGGAUCCAGCCAUGCCGCGUGUGUGAAGAAGGUCUUCGGAUUGUAAAGCUCUUUAAGUUGGGAGGAAGGGCAGUAAGUUAAUACCGUGCUGUUUUGACGUUACCAACAGAAUAAGCACCGGCUAACUUCGUG